CCGCCGGCAGCGCCAAUGGGCGCCGUCCCCCGGCCGGCGGUGGGCGCGGCCGGCUGGAGCCUGAGCACGGCAGGCGGAAGCCUGGGGCGCGCUGGCGGAGCUGCUUGUGGGCCCAUGUCUGUCGGCAGGAGCCAAGGUGCGGUCGCGGGGCCGGGCUCGGGGCGCUCCAGGGGUCCCCUGCCGGCUCCGGGGGCCGGCGGUUCCGCUCACCCGCUGCUAGGUCCGGGAAACGUUUCCAAAGUUCCCGUGAGCCCUGCCCCGGAGAGAAACGGCUGCGGAGCCGGCUUCCCCACGCGCCCGGGAGGCAGCGGGCGGCUGGUUGGGGUGUUCAUAGGGAAAGUACUGAAGAGGCUCUUCGCUGCUACUCCCUCCACUUCUCAUGUGCCUGUUCCCAGUGGAGAAGAGAUGGUACUAAAAAAUCCCACAUCAAAACCACAGCAGAAGGAUUCUGAGAAUGCUCAGGCUUCAUCAAAAUGUGCCAGUUCGCCAGGUAGAGAAAAUGAAAUCCUUCUUCCAAGGUUAUACACAGUAAGUCUCCCUCUGGAUGGCUACGACCCAGGUAAUCCAAGAACAGAGAGUCCCACAAAUGCUGAACACUCUGAGAGUAAUGAUGAUGCAGCAGUGGAGGAUUCUUGCGGACAACCCAAGAGAAAGCGCAUUCGAAGGACGAAACAAAAGAACAGUGUUGGAAAUCCUGAUAAUUUACAUGGAGAACAAACAGAAUCUGGGAAGCAUGAGACUCUGUUUCAAGAUAAUUUACAGCUGCCGCAGACAGAUGGCAGAAAAAUAAGCAAAAACAAAAAGAGGAAAAUGAAAAAGAAACGACAAAAGGAAAAGAUGAGAGCAGCUGGCUUGCUAACAAAAACCACUGGUAUGGAUUUUACGUAUCAGCCUGAGAAGGACAACAGUGAAGGAGCAGACUUUAAAGACAUAUAUGAAAAAGCAGAUGGCAUUCUGGACUUCUUGCAGGCAACGCAAGAAAUCUAUUUUGCUGACAAUAAAUCAAAAUGCACAGAUUCAGCUAUGAGUUCAGCAACUGUCCAAGAGAUUUUACAUCAUCUUGAAUCUCACAGCCUGGCUUCCUCAGAUGUGACACUUCUACAUAAGAUGAAAUCCCUUGUACUUUUGCAGGAUAUUGAGAGAUUGAAGGUCAUUUUGGAACAAUUCCAAGAACAUUCCAUGAUGCUGCCGGGACUUCAUACCAAGUGAGGAAACAUACUUGAAAAGAGACAGGGAAAUCCAGGACGCCAGUGAUUAUGUGGUGCACUCUAACCAAUCUAGAGGUGGUCCCCUAGCUCACUCCAGAACCAGAGGAAGGGGAUUAGGGGGGCAGACUGAGGGAGUUGGAUGGUUUCCACCUCAGUAAUUACCCCAAAGUUAUAGAUCAUGCCAAGAUAAUCUCUUCUCUAUUUCACUACUGGAUUACCGAUAUCCUUCCUGGGAAGAACAGGAAAUAAAGCAUGUGUGUGUGUCCAUCUGUGCAGAGUUAAAAUUUAAUAUACCAACUGUAAGCUGAAUAGCGAAUGUUCAGAAAUAGCAGUGUACGUGCUGUAUAUUCAGCAAGGUAAAUGAGGUAUUUUCCAUAUUGACUGUCCUCCAAAAGAUAAUGAGCAAUAUAAAAGUACUUUGAUUUUGUAUUUUGGUUGGUUGGCAACAUCUUGCAUAUGGACAUGCACAACCAAAUCAUUUAACAUAGAGCCUGAAUUGGCAGUUGGAUCUGUGCAAACAGAUACAUCUUUUUGCGGGAUUAGGGACAUAUGGGAUGGUUUCUAGGUGCUCAAAGAUUCAAGAGGUACAUUAAACUUAAAUGUUUAUUGGUAAUUUCUUUCUAGAAAAUGUGCUUCUUAGCCAUUAUUGUUUACAGAGUGUCAGGAUGUAUUCUAGGUGUAAUUUAUAGCACCACCUAUUGGUAAGGUAGCCCAACACUUCCCAUAUAAGACCCUUUUUUCAGUUGUGUUUCAUUUUGCCAAACUUUAGUCAUUUGAGCUGAAAUUUUCCAUGCUGGGUGACCUGCCACAGGCUGACUUUUUUGGAAAGUUCAGUCACAACAAUUCUGCUGUUUUUGAGAAAGGCAAGAAAGAAAAUAAAGUUGUUUUUAAAACUCUGAGAACAUCUCCUUUCUAGCCAUGCUGUUUUAUUAAAAAAAUAAAUAAUUUUAAAUUACAUAUAUAUUUAUACAUUUAUUUUUAAAAAAUUCUGAUUAUCUUUUCUUUAGAAAGCUCUAAUAAGUUCCUCCAUACACUGUAGCAGGGACUUGAAAUUUGGCAAGGGCUGGUGUUUGUGUCAGGGAUGUGUCUGUUGUGGUCAUUGUGAAAAUCUGUCCAAAUAUGUCAAAGUUAUAAAUCUUUGAAAUAUUGCAGUUCGCAGUGCUCGGUAGAGAUUUGCUAGAGUUUAAUAGCUACCAUCUCCAAAGAUUCCAUCUCCUCACAGUUCCUGUGUGUGACUGGACUGUGCAGGCUCCCUCCAGCCCAGAGCUACAGAAUGAAGUCUGACUUCCCCUAUAAUGGCUACUCCGGGCAAGAGUGGAGCUGGGCACCAGAAGUGAGCUCAGGGAACCUCUCUCCUAUGCCGUUAAUAACCCCCAUAUUGGCACCCAGGCUUGGAAUGAAGAGGUAGACCGGGACCCAACAUAAGGAAUAUGAAGGGAUGAGACUAGGACUUACAGUGCAACUGUCAUUCAGCCCCCUUAUGCAUAUGCAUUAUGAUAGUCUUUAAUUACAUGAUCGCAUACUGUUUGUUCCACGAUAUCCCACCUUAUUCAAUGCACAGGAUGGACCCUUCUGGGGAUCGAUCAAAGUGGUUUUGCAGAAGUGGGAAGGUGUGCAGUGAAGGAAGCAGGGUAUUGUUGAAAGAGAAAGGAUUGUCUCCUGGUUAAGGCAGCUGAAUGCUGCCUUGAAGAACUGGAUUUUAUGACUGCCUCUGCCACAGAGUUCUUAUGCUGGGCAAGUCACUUAAAUCAAACUUUUCACAGGUGGUCACUAAUUUUGUUCUUCAUUUUCUGUUUACCUGACUUGAGAGGCUGGGAUCUGUUUUGCAGAAAUGUUGAGCACUGAAAGCUGCAAACAUCUGCAAAGCCACUUCAUUGACCUCCUUCAAAUCCCUCCAUAAAAUUCUUCUUUCCUGUGAGGUCUACAAACUUGACCGUUUAUUACGCUGACCAAAAUUAUCUCAUAGUUUCCAUGUACUCCCCUGUCGGUCUGUCUGCUCCAUUGCUCUUGUCGUAUACUUACAUUGUAAGCUCUUUUGGGCAGGGCCUUUCUUUUCUGUGUUUGCACAGUACCUAGCACAAUGAGUACAGGUCCAUGACUGGAACUCCUAAGCUCUACUGCAAUACAUAUAAUGAUGGUGAUAAGUGAAGUCAGUGGGAGCUAUGCUUUGAAUGUAUAAAGUGCUAUACAGUGCUAAGCAACUUGAAAAGUCAGGCACUGGGUAUCUCAGAUUGGGCACACAAAAUCAGUUGACACUUCUGACCUUAAUUUCCUGUGCCUCAGUUCUCCACAGCUUCACAUCACAAGGGUGUUGUGAACAUUUGUGAAUGUUUGUGAAGUAGUUGGAUGCUAUAGUGAGGAGCACCAUAGAAAAGCCCAUGAGGAAAUUUAAUAAUUUAUUUUUUCAGAGCAGGGUUUGAAUAGUGCGCAGAAAACAAGGCAUUGCACUGCACAGUAAAAACUAGAAGAAAACAAAAUAUUGAAUAGCUGCUUAUUAAGUGAGCACUGUCCAUCCUGUGCAGUGAAUGAGACAGGAGACCUAAGCACAACAUACUUGUGUUCAUGUAAUUAAAAACUAUAUAAUAAAGAACAUGCACAAAGGGUCCAAAUUAAGUUUGCAUGAGCCAGCAGCUUUAAUUUGGCUGCUUGCACUUUGGCAGCACAAAGGAAAGGAGAAUUAGUCAGUGCUGCUGGCAGCACACCUCAGGCAUGUUGGGACUGGAUGGGGUGUGGUCCAUGGUUCCUAUCCAUUUACUAAACAUUCUGUUGCUGGUAAGAUGGGCCCGUUACAGUGUAAGAGGAUGGAGAGCACUGAGUGAUUGGACGAGGGUGAGAUGUAUAAGAGAAAUAGUUUCAUAUCCAUUCCUCCCAGUGCUGGGACCUAUUUUAUUGAAUUGUUCCAGAUGGAAGAACAUUGUAUUAAUAAUGGUAGAACAUUGAUCAAUGUAUUUGAUUCUCCAGAAACAUCUUCUCUGUACUGUAGUAUUAGUUCAUUUUUAAUUAAUUAAUCAACAUUUAGGUGGAUUAGCGAAUUUUGUCCUCUAUGCAGUUAGGAUUGGAAUGGAAAAGGUGCUGUCCAAGUAGGAAAUGACCAUAAGAAAACGAGCCAAUAGUGAAAGGCUGUGUUCAGUAUGAUAGAAUUCUAUAGUUGGAAACUCUAAACCAUGUCUUGUAAUAAUAUUUCCGUUUUAAUGCUUGGUCUGUUCUCUCACUGUAGAAAGGAUUUGAUCAUGUGCAGUAUUCAUUUAAAACAGUAUUCAUUUAAAACUCAAUUUUAAGUUGCUGCAUACUUUAGGGGGCCAGACUCUGAUACCCUCACUCACAAGGAAGAACAUUUUACUCCAUGUGUAAUCUCAAUGACUUCUGUGGGACUAGUCGCAGAGUAAGUUGCUACUCAAUGUGAACAAAGCUAUCGGAAGUUGGACCAAUAAAAGAUAUUACCUCA